rnacentral:rRNA from 1 species
CGUUGGUUCUCCACCUAGUGGCGAAAGGGUGAGUAACACGUGAGUUAUCUACCCCAGAGACUGGGAUAACUAUUAGAAAUGAUAGCUAAUACCGGAUGAUAUAUAGAACGAUACGUUGUUCUAUAGUAAAAGGAGCCUUUAAAGCUUCACUUUGGGAUGAGCUUGCGACGUAUUAGCUAGUUGGUGAGGUAAUGGCUUACCAAGGCGACGAUGCGUAGCCGACCUGAGAGGGUGAUCGGCCACACUGGGACUGAGACACGGCCCAGACUCC